GAUCCUGGCUCAGGAUGAACGCUGGCGGCGUGCUUAACACAUGCAAGUCGAGCGAAGCGAUUUAAGUGAAGUUUUCGGAUGGAUCUUAAAUUGACUGAGCGGCGGACGGGUGAGUAACGCGUGGGUAACCUGCCUCAUACAGGGGGAUAACAGUUGGAAACGGCUGUUAAUACCGCAUAAGCGCACAGUACCGCAUGGUAUGGUGUGAAAAACUCCGGUGGUAUGAGAUGGACCCGCGU
rnacentral:rRNA from 1 species